rnacentral:rRNA from 1 species
AGUGAACGCUGGCGGUAGGCCUAACACAUGCAAGUCGAACGGCAGCACAGUAAGAGCUUGCUCUUACGGGUGGCGAGUGGCGGACGGGUGAGGAAUACAUCGGAAUCUACUUUUUCGUGGGGGAUAACGUAGGGAAACUUACGCUAAUACCGCAUACGACCUACGGGUGAAAGCAGGGGAUCUUCGGACCUUGCGCGAUUGAAUGAGCCGAUGUCGGAUUAGCUAGUUGGCGGGGUAAAGGCCCACCAAGGCGACGAUCCGUAGCUGGUCUGAGAGGAUGAUCAGCCACCGUGGAACGGAGACACGGUCCAAACUCCUACGGGAGGCAGCAGUGGGGAAUAUUGGACAAUGGGCGGAAGCCUGAUCCAGCCAUACCGCGUGGGUGAAGAAGGCCUUCGGGUUGUAAAGGCCUUUUGUUGGGAAAGAAAAGCAGCAGGUUAAUACCCCGCUGUUCUGACGGUACCCAAAGAAUAAGCACCGGCUAACUUCGU